GACGAACGCUGGCGGCGUGCUUAACACAUGCAAGUCGAACGGUGAAGCGCCUUCCUUUUUGGUGGGUGUGGAUGAGUGGCGAACGGGUGAGUAACACGUGAGUAACCUGCCCCCUUCUUCUGGAUAACCGCAUGAAAGUGUGGCUAAUACGGGAUAUUCUGGUUCUGUCGCAUGAUGGGUCUGGGAAAGAUAUUGUUUCGGUGGGGGAUGGGCUCGCGGCCUAUCAGCUUGUUGGUGGGGUGAUGGCCUACCAAGGCGGUGACGGGUAGCCGGCCUGAGAGGGUGGACGGUCACACUGGGACUGAGACACGGCCCAGACUCCUACGGGAGGCAGCAGUGGGGAAUAUUGCACAAUGGGCGCAAGUCUGAUGCAGCGACGCCGCGUGAGGGAUGGAGGCCUUCGGGUUGUGAACCUCUUUCGCCAGUGAAGCAGGCCUGCCUCGUUUGUGGGUGGGUUGACGGUAGCUGGAUAAGAAGCGCCGGCUAACUACGUG
rnacentral:rRNA from 1 species